GACGAACGCUGGCGGCGUGCUUAACACAUGCAAGUCGAACGGAAAGGCCCUGCUUUUGUGGGGUGCUCGAGUGGCGAACGGGUGAGUAACACGUGAGUAACCUGCCCUUGACUUUGGGAUAACUUCAGGAAACUGGGGCUAAUACCGGAUAGGAGCUCCUGCUGCAUGGUGGGGGUUGGAAAGUUUCGGCGGUUGGGGAUGGACUCGCGGCUUAUCAGCUUGUUGGUGGGGUAGUGGCUUACCGAGGCUUUGACGGGUAGCCGGCCUGAGAGGGUGACCGGCCACAUUGGGACUGAGCUACGGCCCAGACUCCUACGGGAGGCAGCAGUGGGGAAUAUUGCACAAUGGGCGGAAGCCUGAUGCAGCAACGCCGCGUGCGGGAUGACGGCCUUCGGGUUGUGAACCGCUUUCGCCUGUGACGAAGCGUGAGUGACGGUAAUGGGUAAAGAAGCCCCGGCUAACUACGUG
rnacentral:rRNA from 1 species